CCUACGGGAGGCAGCAGUGAGGAAUAUUGGUCAAUGGACGAGAGUCUGAACCAGCCACGUAGCGUGAAGGAUGACUGCCCUAUGGGUUGUAAACUUCUUUUAUAAAGGAAUAAAACGAGGCACGUGUGCCUUUUUGCAUUUACUUUAUGAAUAAGGAUCGGCUAACUCCGUGCCAGCAGCCGCGGUAAUACGGAGGAUCCGAGCGUUAUCCGGAUUUGUUGGGUUUAAAGGGAGCGUAGAUGGGUUGUUAAGUCAGUUGUGAAAGUUUGUGGCUCAACCGUAAAAUUGCAAUUGAUACUGGCAGUCUUGAGUACAGUUGAGGAAAGCGGAAUUCGUGGUGUAGCGGUGAAAUGCUUAGAUAUCACGAAGAACCCCGAUUGCGAAGGCAGCUUACUAAACUGUGACUGACAUUGAGGCUCGAAAGUGUGGGUAUCAAACAGGAUUAGAUACCCGGGUAGUC
rnacentral:rRNA from 1 species